AGUUUGAUCCUGGCUCAGGAUGAACGCUGGCGGCGUGCCUAACACAUGCAAGUCGAACGAAGCAUGACCCAUGAGGCCUUCGGGCGGAAUGGGUCAUGACUUAGUGGCGGACGGGUGAGUAACGCUGGGUAACCUGCCCUAUACUGGGGGAUAACAGCUAGAAUGGCUGCUAAUACCGCAUGAGCGCACAGUCCCGCAUGGGACAGUGCGGAAAACUCCGGUGGUAUAGGAUGGACCCGCGUCCGAUCAGCUGGUUGGUGGGGUAACGGCCCACCAAGGCGACGAUCGGUAGCCGACCUGAGAGGGUGACCGGCCACAUUGGGACUGAGACACGGCCCAAACUCCUACGGGAGGCAGCAGUGGGGGAUAUUGCACAAUGGGGGGAACCCUGAUGCAGCGACGCCGCGUGAGUGAAGGAGUACUCCGGUAUGUAAAGCUCUAUCAGCAGGGAAGAAGCAAGACGGUGCCUGACCAAGAAGCCCCGGCUAACUACGUG
rnacentral:rRNA from 1 species